rnacentral:rRNA from 1 species
AUAUCAAUAAGCGGAGGAAAAGAAACCAACAGGGAUUGCCCCAGUAACGGCGAGUGAAGCGGCAACAGCUCAAAUUUGAAAUCUGGCCCCCAGGGUCCGAGUUGUAAUUUGCAGAGGAUGAUUUUGGCGAGGUGCCUUCCGAGUUCCCUGGAACGGGACGCCACAGAGGGUGAGAGCCCCGUCUGGUUGGACGCCGAGCCUAUGUAAAUCUCCUUCGACGAGUCGAGUAGUUUGGGAAUGCUGCUCUAAAUGGGAGGUAUAUGUCUUCUAAAGCUAAAUAUUGGCCAGAGACCGAUAGCGCACAAGUAGAGUGAUCGAAAGAUGAAAAGCACUUUGAAAAGAGGGUUAAAUAGUACGUGAAAUUGUUGAAAGGGAAGCGCUCAUGACCAGACUUGGGCCCGGUGAAUCAUCCAGCGUUCUCGCUGGUGCACUUUGCCGGGCACAGGCCAGCAUCAGUUUGCCCUGGGGGAUAAAGGCUUUGGGAAUGUGGCUCCUCCGGGAGUGUUAUAGCCCAUUGCAUAAUAUCCUGGGGCGGACUGAGGUUCGCGCAUCUGCAAGGAUGCUGGCGUAAUGGUCAUCAGCGA